rnacentral:rRNA from 1 species
GUGGGGAAUCUUCCGCAAUGGACGAAAGUCUGACGGAGCAACGCCGCGUGAGUGAUGAAGGUCUUCGGAUUGUAAAGCUCUGUUAAUCGGGACGAAAGAGCCUAGUGUGAAUAAUGCUAGGAAGUGACGGUACCGGAAUAGAAAGACACGGCUAACUACGUGCCAGCAGCCGCGGUAAUACGUAGGUGGCAAGCGUUGUCCGGAAUUAUUGGGCGUAAAGCGCGCGCAGGCGGAUCUGCCAGUCUGUCUUAAAAGUUCGGGGCUUAACCCCGUGAUGGGAUGGAAACUACAGAUCUAGAGUAUCGGAGAGGAAAGUGGAAUUCCUAGUGUAGCGGUGAAAUGCGUAGAUAUUAGGAAGAACACCAGUGGCGAAGGCGACUUUCUGGACGAAAACUGACGCUGAGGCGCGAAAGCCAGGGGAGCGAACGGGAUUAGAUACCCUUGUAGUCC